rnacentral:lncRNA from 1 species
GGGGUCAAAAUUUUUUCCCGGACAUGCCAAAAUUUACGUUACAUCUAAAAAUUUUCCCGGACAUCAACAAUUUUCUCCAUUUAUCCAAAAUUUUCCGAAUAUACGAACGUCGGCAACUUUGACAAUUUCCGACAACGUUCACGAUUUUCCAAAAAUUUCCGACAACAUUCACAAUUUUCCGACGGGUCUCCCCAAUAGGGGCGGCAAUGCCCCCCCCCUGCCCCCCGGCGCCACUGUUUGUUCACGAGCUGUUGACAAGUCGUCUUCGCUCUGCUUGUUCCCAGUUGUAGUAACAAGUUUGGAACAGGCUGUUAACAACUUGACACAAGCUUGACGACAUUAUCAGAUUUGUUACAAGGUUGUUCUAACAAGUCUGAUACAGUCAUGAUAUAACAAGAAUGUUACAAGGUUGACGACACAAGGUUGUAACAAUAUUGUUACAUCAUGACUGUAUCGGACUUGUUGAUACAACCUUGUAACAAGCCUGAUAAUAUCAACAUGAUUGUUACAAGUUGUUAACAGCUUGUUCCAAACUUGUUGACAAUUUGGGACAAGCAGUGCGAACACAACUUGUUGACGGCUUGUUGGCAGACUUGCUACAAGAUGUGAGAUUUUUACGCGUGUACAAAUCUGUUCACAAGCUGGCAAUAUUGUUAUGUCAUGACUGUAUCGGACUUGUUGGAACAACCUUGCUACAAUUUUGAUAAUACCAACAAGUUAACAACUUGUAACAAGCUUGAUGACAU